rnacentral:rRNA from 1 species
CCUACGGGAGGCAGCAGUGAGGAAUAUUGGUCAAUGGGCGCGAGCCUGAACCAGCCAAGUAGCGUGAAGGAUGACUGCCCUACGGGUUGUAAACUUCUUUUGCCGGGGAGCAACGGGGUCCUUGCGAGGGCCCGAUGAGAGUACCCGGAGAAAAAGCAUCGGCUAACUCCGUGCCAGCAGCCGCGGUAAUACGGGGGAUGCAAGCGUUAUCCGGAUUUAUUGGGUUUAAAGGGUGCGUAGGCUGUGAGGUAAGUCAGCGGUGAAAUGCCCCCGCUCAACGGGGUGAAGUGCCAUUGAUACUGCCGUGCUGGAAUGCGGAUGCCGUGGGAGGAAUGUGUGGUGUAGCGGUGAAAUGCAUAGAUAUCACACAGAACACCGAUUGCGAAGGCAUCUCACGAAGCCGCGAUUGACGCUGAUGCACGAAAGCGUGGGUAUCAAACAGGAUUAGAUACCCCUGUAGUC